GACGAACCGUGCGAACGUUAUUCGGAAUCAUUGGGCUUAAAGAGCGCGUAGGCGGCGACGUAAGUUGGAAGUGAAAUCCCAUCGGCUCAACCGUGGAAUCGCUCCCAGUACUGCGUUGCUCGAGGGAGAUAGGGCCUGUGGAACUGCCGGUGGAGCGGUGAAAUGUGUUGAUAUCGGCGGGAACGCCAGUGGCGAAAGCGACAGCUGGACCUUUCUGACGCUGAGGCGCGAAAGCUAGGGGAGCAAACGGG
rnacentral:rRNA from 1 species